rnacentral:lncRNA from 1 species
CCAUGGAUCGAAGUACGAUCUGAGGGCGUGGGUGGCUCUCUGUCUUGAUCCGACAGUUCAGAGGUUAUCUGGCUUUGUUUAGGACUCCUAAUCCUUCUCUAAUCAAGUUUUUAACCCUUUAAAAGGGCCUGUGCGUGAAACAGAGGGGGUGGUGGUUCGGAUUUGCACCGUACGAAGCCCGUACGGAACCCAAGAGAAGAGAGAGGCGGAAGCAC